ACCAGACUCCUACGGGAGGCAGCAGUGGGGGAUAUUGCACAAUGGGGGGAACCCUGAUGCAGCGACGCCGCGUGGGUGAAGAAGCGCCUCGGCGCGUAAAGCCCUGUCAGCAGGGAAGAAAAUGACGGUACCUGAAGAAGAAGCCCCGGCUAACUACGUGCCAGCAGCCGCGGUAAUACGUAGGGGGCAAGCGUUAUCCGGAUUUACUGGGUGUAAAGGGGGCGCAGACGGCGAUGCAGGCCAGGAGUGAAAGCCCGGGGCCCAACCCCGGGACUGCUCUUGGAACUGCGUGGCUGGAGUGCAGGAGGGGCAGGCGGAAUUCCUGGUGUAGCGGUGAAAUGCGUAGAUAUCAGGAGGAACACCGGUGGCGAAGGCGGCCUGCUGGACUGCAACUGACGUUGAGGCCCGAAAGCGUGGGGAGCAAACAGGAUUAGAUACCCCCGUA
rnacentral:rRNA from 1 species